AGAGUUUGAUCCUGGCUCAGAACGAACGCUGGCGGCGUGCCUAACACAUGCAAGUCGAGCGAGAAAGCCCGCAAGGGUGAGUACAGCGGCGCACGGGUGCGUAACACGUGGGUAAUCUACCUCGAAGUCUGGAAUAACUCCCCGAAAGGGGUGCUAAUGCCGGAUGAGACCACGGGAGCUGCGGCUCCCGAGGGAAAAGAUGGCCUCUGCAUGCAAGCUAUCGCUUCGAGAUGAGCCCGCGGCCCAUCAGCUUGUUGGCGGGGUAACGGCCCACCAAGGCUACGACGGGUAGCUGGUCUGAGAGGACGAUCAGCCACACUGGAACUGAGACACGGUCCAGACUCCUACGGGAGGCAGCAGUGGGGAAUCUUGCGCAAUGGGCGAAAGCCUGACGCAGCAACGCCGCGUGUGUGAUGAAGGUCUUCGGAUCGUAAAGCACUGUCGGGAGGGACGAAUAAGGGCCGGGCUAACACCCCGGUCCGAUGACGGUACCUCCAAAGGAAGCACCGGCUAACUCUGUGCCAGCAGCCGCGGUAAUACAGAGGGUGCAAGCGUUGUUCGGAAUUAUUGGGCGUAAAGCGCGUGUAGGCGGCCAACCAAGUCGGGUGUGAAAGCCCUCGGCUCAACCGAGGAAGUGCGCCCGAAACUAGCUGGCUUGAGUACCAGAGAGGGUGGCGGAAUUCCCGGUGUAGAGGUGAAAUUCGUAGAUAUCGGGAGGAACACCAGCGGCGAAGGCGGCCACCUGGAUGGAUACUGACGCUGAGACGCGAAAGCGUGGGGAGCAAACAGGAUUAGAUACCCUGGUAGUCCACGCUGUAAACGAUGAGCGCUAGGUGUUGUGGGUGUUGACCCCUGCAGUGCCGCAGCUAACGCAUUAAGCGCUCCGCCUGGGGAGUACGGCCGCAAGGCUAAAACUCAAA
rnacentral:rRNA from 1 species